UCUGAGGCACAUCCUCCCUGGACAAGUCUUCUGGGGCAGGAAGGGCUGCCACCCUCAGUUCAGUAGGCUCACCAUUGUCUUCAGUCUAUUCUCCAGCCAGAAGCAGGAUGAGCCUCACUACACCUCCAUUCACUCUGACGUCUGCCCCAACUCCGAUGUUGGGCUAUACCAGUGAAAAUGCAGAAUUUAGGGAGAUGCAGCUGCACUACAAGUUCCCUUCAAGUGGGCAACAACCUGAGGGAUAAAGAACUCAUUAUGCAGCAAAACUGCUGACUCUUCUGGAUGAUAUUGGAACAUGCGCCUUUCCUGCCUCCUCUUUAAUUAUCAGUUUGAUGAAGACCCAGUAAUCGGCCAAAGUUUUCUGCUCAGAUUUCCUUGGAAAAUGAGACUAGGAGUUGGAAGACUUCUAACUUGUGUUGCAAGCUCAAGAUCCUAGCAAAAAAAGACGAAUGAAAGAGAGUUUGGGUUGUUGACCAAACCUUGUUCCAGGUGCUCUGACUGGCGAUUAGCAUGUCACCAUGGAAUUCCAGCCCCAGAAACCAAAUGCUCCUCCCAGAAGAGGUCACUGGCUAGCCUCCUGUGCGGACAGAGCAGGACCCUACUGUGCAGGCUGACCCUGCUGGAUCACAUCAGAGAGCAUCUUACCAGGACCUGGGACUCAAAGCCACAGAGGGGCCAUUGAGAAGCCAUCCAAAGGCAACUUCUGUUCCCUCGUGGAUUUGGCAAGCUCUGAAGGUCGCAUCCCAGCUUGACCUAAAAACUGCAGCUUCACCCAUGAACUUUAAUUCCCCUCUCCUUGACUCCCUCCCACCACAGGCUGCAAACAGCCCAGCGCAGUCUUCCACAUCAAAGAAUUCCUUUUACUAAAAGAGGCAAGGCUAUUCCUUUGGCCCCUCUGCCAUAUAUGACUUGGGAGAGGAAAAGCUGGAAAGAAAAAGCCUUCAAUAUUU